AAUCUCUAACCACAGCCGCCUCCACUGCCACAAAUAUCUAGUAUGAUUACAUGUUGUCCUUAUUUUCAGUAAAUUUAUCAUUUUGAAGAGCACCUAUGAUUUGUUCUUUCCCCUUCUUUCACUUCUCACGAUCUACUAACGGCAUCACCACCACCUCAAGUAAUACUACAAGGUCUUCCAUCAUAUUUAAAACCUUCUGCAUGUGGGUGAAUCUCACUCGAGAGUUCUCCGUCGAGCUUUUUGGAAGUUUUGAGUGUGGUCGCCAAUUUAUUUACAUGCAUAUAUAUAUAUAUAUGUAAGUGUUUUAGGCGUUCACAUCUGAUGUACCUAUGUUAUUUAAGGCUCUCUCUCUUUCUCCAUUUCCAUGGGAAGGAGAAGAUGCUAGAGAAGGCCGCAGUCCCAUGAUGCCCGAGGAUGGCUAUGAAUGGAAGAAAUAUGGCCAGAAAUUCAUCCAAAACAUAAGGAAGAACAGAUAGAAGCUACUUCAAGUGCCGAAACAGGCGAUGCAAGGCCAAAAAGAGACUUGAAUGGCUUCCCUCAGACCCAAGCAGCAUAAGAGUCAUCUAUCAAGGAGCGCACGACCACCCCUCUCCACGACCUCAGUCUAACUUGGAGCAAGAGGCUUCGGCUAGGAGGGCAAAUAGGUACAAUUUGGCAAACCAAGUGCUCGGUUCUCCCAGUGAUCCAUCCUAGGCUCUUGCACUCUAAUCCUCGUCUCGAGGAGUCAUUAGUCAUGGUCAUUGUCUGCUCAAUAAAGAUGCCCGCGUAACCAAAAAAAAAUUGAAACUAGGUAAAGAAUGCUGAAUCACAAGUGUGCUACUGUUAGAUCAAGUUGUUCAAGUCCUGUAGUUCCAAAGAAUGAUAUUGAUCGAUCUUUCUUGUGCUAGUAUAGCAUCUAUUUGUAACUUUAGACUUUACAUGAGAUAGAGUUCCACUCUUUGUUCGAAGUAAUGUCUUUAAUACCAGUGCUACAAUCACUGGUAUGAUUUUACCAUGUCCACACUACUACUAGUAUACAGAGGAAGUAGGAGAAGAAGAUUGAGCACUGUGUAACAUGCCACUACCAGCUGUUUAGAGUGUUCUUUUAAAUGAUCAUGGAAGAAUAGGAAUUCCAUCAUUUUGUGAGGACAUGUGUGGGUGUCUGUAUAAUUCCACAUCAGCUAUUCAUUUAGAAGAUCUUGGGUGUUUAUACUGGACUAAGAAAUCUAAAAAAUACCUUCCGCUAGCUUUUUUUGGUAGAGUCCUAAGUUGUUGCACACUUUCAGUCCAAUUCCUUUCUCUUCUAUAUAUUUCUUACAUGGAGAAGAGGCUAAACAAAAUAGAAUCAUUUUGCUCUCUAUUCAAGAAGAAAUAAUUCAAUGAUCUUAGUGGAGCAAAUGGAUACUAUAUGAAGUCUAUAUAUACAUCGUGCCACUUGUCACGCCCCGAACCCAGCACCCGGGUUCGGUACGCGACCGGCUGCAUGAGCCCUAGAGCAGUGCCCUAAAGAUCAUGCAAGGCCUAUGAUUAACAAAAAUUCUAAUAAAUCCACAAUUAAUCUAGUAAUUCAAAUAGAGCAGUCCGACAUG